rnacentral:rRNA from 1 species
CCUACGGGAGGCUGCAGUCGAGAAUCAUUCACAAUGGGGGAAACCCUGAUGGUGCGACGCCGCGUGGGGGAAUGAAGGUCUUCGGAUUGUAAACCCCUGUCAUGUGGGAGCAAAUUUAAAAGAUAGUACCACAAGAGGAAGAGACGGCUAACUCUGUGCCAGCAGCCGCGGUAAUACAGAGGUCUCAAGCGUUGUUCGGAAUCACUGGGCGUAAGGCGUGCGUAGGCUGUUUCGUAAGUCGUGUGUGAAAGGCGCGGGCUCAACCCGCGGACGGCACAUGAUACUGCGAGACUAGAGUAAUGGAGGGGGAACCGGAAUUCUCGGUGUAGCAGUGAAAUGCGUAGAUAUCGAGAGGAACACUCGUGGCGAAGGCGGGUUCCUGGACAUUAACUGACGCUGAGGCACGAAGGCCAGGGGAGCGAAAGGGAUUAGAUACCCCUGUAGUC